AUCGCAAACACACUUUUAAGUGAAUGUGUAUAUUUCCUGACAGGCUGCUUGCUGCCCGACUGUACUGCGAAGUAUUACAAGUGUCGGUGGAUAACUACGAGCUUAGAACCUAAUCGGCUCUGCACACACCUUUAACACCAGUGCUCUUUUUUUUUAUCGCCUCACCAGCAACUUUAUCGACGUCAUUGCGGUUAUAAUCCUCCUCCACUCCGACUGGCGGCAAGAGUCGUCAACAACCAUGUGAUCUGACAACAAAAACAGUUUCAGUAGGCCAGUCAUAUGAGAAGUAAAUAGCCACAAAUGGCUGCUGAAGACAACGAAAUCACCCUGUCAACAGAACAACCUACACGCUACAACAUCGGACCUAUAACUGCUAAAUCAACAGUUCGAAUAUGGGGCCGGUUUCGAACCUUUUCUGGAUUGACAGCAACAGAAUGGCUCUUCUUAUCAAUGUCUCUUAUAAACAUUGUCAUUGCAAUCUGUUUGACUAUCUAUCAACUCGUCAAAGCAGUUAGUGAAAAACACUAUGUUGAUAUCAUCUUCACAAUUCUUAUUCUCAUAAAUGCAGGAUUCUGUGUGUUUUAUACCAUUCAUGGUCUCCUAAGAGAACGGGCCUAUGAAUUGCUAGCUUUGGUUGCUGCAAUGAUUGUUAUUUUCAUCUACUGUAUUGUGCAAGCCAGCGUAAAUAAGAAUUUAGAAACAGUUAAAUUGGUUCGGCUCAUUAUAGCCUCCAUACUUGUUCCAUUAAAUAUCGGCUUGGCUACACUUGUUGUACGAAGGUUUGGCUGGCUUGAAUUCAAGAUAGUCGGGGCUUCUGAAGCUCUUCAGAACAUGUACAAACAGGCAACACUAUUUUCAACAUUAUUAAAAUUUGAUCUCCAAGUCACUGUCAGCGUUGUGAUUCUUACUCUUAGUCUGCGGUUUAAUAACCUUGCCAACCUUAAGCCAAACACUAUGGAGCUUGUUGUUCUGUUUAUUGGCAUUCCAAUAUCCUUAGGAUGGGAUUUUCUUGGCUACGUGUUGAUGAAGAAGGAAAGCAAGAUUGGUGUUUUGGUAUUCAUUCUAGUUGGAUUCUUAAAGCCUGGAUAUUACUUAUUUAAAACAAUAACUCUUUACAUCCAUUUAUCAAACUUACCAUCCAACAGCAAUGACCUUACUGAAAAGUUUAUGAUUUACUGUAUACUGACUUCAGUUACCAUAGCAUUGUUCGUUUGGGCUUUAUUAAUGAUUGAGCUAUUUUUCGUACAACGCAACUUUAACAAAGGCCUUAAAGAAAGAGUUUAUCCUAACGAUGCUUUUAGAUACAGGCAAAAUAAUAUUAAUGAACCCGAAAUGGAGUCUGGUUAAAGGCAAAUUCACAUAAAAUGUAUAAAAUACAUGUUGACUGCACAGUAUUUCUACAUGGCACUUUUAAUAAGCAAUAUAAUUAAUCUCAUACACAAACAUCAAAAUCAUCUUAAGUUGGCAAGAUAUCUUUAAAGCAUCUCAUUUGUAGAAGCUUAUACUGACAUAUCUUAUAUUUUGUCAUUGCUCAGUGCUGGACCAGGCAGAUUUUUAGGUUCGAUGCCAACAGAAAGAACUGGUCUUCUCUCAGCACACAGUUACCAAGCAGUCAGACUUUACCAAUGAUGAAAUGAAUACCAAAAUUGUAUCUUUGACAAAUUUUAAAAUCAUAUUAUUUUCUUAAAAUUCUAUUUUAUAUUAAAAGUUGUUGCUCAUUUAAAAAA